rnacentral:rRNA from 1 species
GACGUAGGGCGCGAGCGUUGUCCGGAUUUAUUGGGCGUAAAGAGCUCGUAGGCGGCUUGUUGCGUCGGCUGUGAAAACCCAUGGCUCGACCGUGGGCUUGCAGCCGAUACGGGCAGGCUAGAGUUCGGUAGGGGAGACUGGAAUUCCUGGUGUAGCGGUGAAAUGCGCAGAUAUCAGGAGGAACACCAGUGGCGAAGGCGGGUCUCUGGGCCGUAACUGACGCUGAGGAGCGAAAGCGUGGGGAGCGAACAGG